UACGUAGGGGGCAAGCGUUGUCCGGAUUUAUUGGGCGUAAAGAGCGUGUAGGCGGCCAAGCAGGUCCGCUGUGAAAACUCGAGGCUCAACCUCGAGAGGUCGGUGGAAACCGUUUGGCUAGAGUCCGGAAGAGGAGAGUGGAAUUCCCGGUGUAGCGGUGAAAUGCGCAGAUAUCGGGAAGAACACCAGUGGCGAAGGCGGGACUCUGGGCCGAUACUGACGCUGAGGAGCGAAAGCGUGGGGAGCGAACAGG
rnacentral:rRNA from 1 species